GGAUGUGGCUUAGUGGUAGAGUGCUUGCCUAGCAUACAUGAAGCCCUGGGUUCAAUUCCUAGUACCA
rnacentral:tRNA from 1 species